rnacentral:rRNA from 1 species
AACUGCGAAUGGAUCAUUAUAUAAGUUAUCGGUUAUUUGAUAGCACCUUUAUACUCGGAUAACUGUGGUAAUUCUAGAGCUAAUACGUGCUGAAAAUCCCGACUUCGGAAGGGUUGUAUUUAUUAGAUUCAAAACCAACGCCCUUCGGGGCUUUCUGGUGAUUCAUGAUAACUGCUCGAAUCGCAUGGCCUUGCGCCGGCGAUGGUUCAUUCAAAUUUCUUCCCUAUCAACUUUCGAUGCGAGGGUCUUGUCCUCGCAUGGUUACAACGGGUAACGGAGGGUUAGGGCUCGACCCCGGAGAAGGAGCNUGAGAAACGGCUACUACAUCCAAGGAAGGCAGCAGGCGCGCAAAUUACCCAAUCCCGACACGGGGAGGUAGUGACAAUAAAUACUGAUACAGGGCUCUUUUGGGUCUUGUAAUCGGAAUGAGUACUAUUUAAAUCCCAUAACGAGGAACAAUUGGAGGGCAAGUCUGGUGCCAGCAGCCGCGGUAAUUCCAGCUCCAAUAGCGUAUAUUAAAGUUGUUGUGGUUAAAAAGCUCGUAGUUGAAGCUUGGGCCUGGCCUGGCAGUCCCCCUCACCGGGUGCACUGGNNNNGCCGGGUCUUUCCCNCUGUGGANCCCCAUGCCCUUCACUGGUCGUGNCGGGAAUACAGGACUUUUACUUUGAAAAAAUUAGAGUGCUCCAGGCAGGCCUAUGCUCGAAUACAUUAGCAUGGAAUAAUGGAAUAGGACGCGUGGUUCUAUUUUGUUGGUUUCUAGGACCGCCGUAAUGAUUAAUAGGGACAGUCGGGGGCGUCAGUAUUCAGUUGUCAGAGGUGAAAUUCUUGGAUCUACUGAAGACUAACUACUGCGAAAGCAUUCGCCAAGGAUGUUUUCAUUGAUAAGGAACGAAAGUUAGGGGAUCGAAGACGAUCAGAUACCGUCGUAGUCUUAACUAUAAACUAUGCCGACUAGGGAUCGGACGGUGUUUUUCAUGACCCGUUCGGCACCUUUCGAGAAAUCAAAGU